CUGCAGCUAGUUAACCUGACUUGUGCACCUCCCUCAUGGGGGCUCAGUGUGCAAUGGUUGCAAAAUGGAGAUUCCCUAGUUGUGUAAACACCUCAUUCCUUGAAAGCAUUGCUUUAAGGGUUCUUGAAGACAUUA
ensembl:snoRNA SNORA70 Small nucleolar RNA SNORA70